CACUAGACGAUGGGGGC
rnacentral:tRNA from 2 species